rnacentral:lncRNA from 1 species
UGUUUAUAUGAAGCUUUGCAAACACUUCACUAAUGAUAUGUCAUAUACUAUAUACCUUGUUCUUAUAGAUACCCACUGUGCAAGGAUUGAACUAAACACAUUUCUGUGUCUGUGAACUAAACUUGUUGGUGAAGAGAUGGGGGAGCUCUUCACCAUUCACCAUCCUCCACAGCAUAUCUCAAGUCCAAGCCGGGGUCUACUCCAUGGAGGUCCUGCUCCUCCACACCCAGAAAGACCCGUCGUUGGGCUGUGGUGCCAAUGGAAGUGGUUACCCUGUUUCUCUGAACUGGAUCACAGUCUCUAACACUGCAGAACAGGGAUGGCUUCCUGAAAUUCGGGAUUGGUCUGCCAAUGAUUGUCCUGAGAUUGGUCGGCCCCAGCAGAUUUGAGCUCUGAUCCCGCCCUCUCGUCAGGGGAUACAGAUGUCGAGUUGGCCCUUCCUUGGCCAACUCUACCUCCUCUGCCACCAACGUUCCCUCCACCUGGGGCAGAGCGAUGACGGAAUGGAGGUGCCAAAGAAGAGAAAAAAAGGAGAGAUGGAGAAAGAGAGAAGGGAUAGGAAGAGAAAGAGAGGAGGACGAAGAGGAUGAUCGAAAAGAAAUCCAAGAUAUUGAUGAAAAGUAAAGUGACAGUAAUGUCAAUAGAGGGAAAAGGAUGACAGUGAAUGACAGAUGAAGAAGCAGAGAGAUACCGGGAGAAAAGGAGACGGCAGAGAGCGUGGUAAGUCUUACCUUUUGCGUAACACAUACACUGACAAAGGGACAUAGAGCAUAGUGACACCUGGUGGACAUCAAAAGAACAGCCAGUUCUUCAGGUAAUUUCCUCACCAAAGCAUGGAAAGCUUAAGGCUUCAUGAAUUCAUUAAGGGCCUCCUGGUCUUUCUGAGGCCAUCAUCUCUUACACAUGUAGGCUUACAAUAAUGGCAUGUUUCCACCAAAGCUUUUAUGGUUUUUCACCAGCUUGUGUGUUUGUGUCUAAUGAUUCGGCACGUCUAUAC